rnacentral:lncRNA from 1 species
CCCAAACUCUUUUUUUUUUCUGCUGCGUAUGUUUCUUCCUUUUCUUUUCUCCACUGUUUGCUUGUUUUUCCUUUUUUUUUUUUGUGUUUUGUCUUGUUCUUCCUUUUUCCUUUUUCCUUUUUGUUCCUUGUUUUUUUUUCUUGGUUUCUUCUGUUUCUGAGUGUUUGGUUUGUCUCCUUUCUUUUAAAUUUUUUCCUGUGUUCUCCUUUUUUCUCCUCUAUGUCUUUGUUGUGUGUAUUGUUAUAUAGAGAUGUAGGAGGGGGGAAGUUGAGGG